AGAGUUUGAUCCUGGCUCAGAUUGAACGCUGGCGGCAUGCCUAACACAUGCAAGUCGAACGGUAACAGGUCUUCGGAUGCUGACGAGUGGCGGACGGGUGAGUAAUGCGUAGGAAUCUGUCUUUUAGUGGGGGACAACCCAGGGAAACUUGGGCUAAUACCGCAUGAGCCCUGAGGGGGAAAGCGGGGGAUCUUCGGACCUCGCGCUAAGGGAAGAGCCUACGUCUGAUUAGCUAGUUGGUAGGGUAAAGGCCUACCAAGGCGACGAUCAGUAGCUGGUCUGAGAGGACGACCAGCCACACUGGGACUGAGACACGGCCCAGACUCCUACGGGAGGCAGCAGUGGGGAAUUUUUCGCAAUGGGGGCAACCCUGACGAAGCAAUGCCGCGUGGAUGAAGAAGGCCUUCGGGUUGUAAAGUCCUUUCGUGGGGGACGAAAAGGCGGGUCCUAAUACGAUCUGCUGUUGACGUGAACCCAAGAAGAAGCACCGGCUAACUCCGUGCCAGCAGCCGCGGUAAUA
rnacentral:rRNA from 1 species